rnacentral:lncRNA from 11 species
GAAAUUUCAAAAGGACCCCUCUUUAUUUGUUACAGAAAUAAAGGUCUCAAUGCAAUCACUGCUUCCAACUAAAGUAGAUCCAAUGAAUCAAUGGGCUUUACAUAAUCACUGAAUAAUCAUUUGGGAAUUGAUGCAAUGGGCUUCCGCGAGGCAGGAAGCCCGUCUGUUCCUCCCCUGUCCGUUCCUCCAAGAAGUCCUUCAUUCUGUUGGCCAAUAUACUUGUGAAAAUCUUAUAAUCCGA